UACAGAGGGUGCAAGCGUUGUUCGGAAUUAUUGGGCGUAAAGAGCGUGUAGGCGGCCAGACAGGUCAGCUGUGAAAACUCGAGGCUCAACCUCGAGACGUCGGUUGAAACCGUCUGGCUAGAGUCCGGAAGAGGAGAGUGGAAUUCCCGGUGUAGCGGUGAAAUGCGCAGAUAUCGGGAAGAACACCCGUGGCGAAGGCGGCUCUCUGGGACGGUACUGACGCUGAGACGCGAAAGCGUGGGGAGCGAACAGG
rnacentral:rRNA from 1 species